UCGAUAUGGACACAUGCAUUUUCUAAAAAUACAAAACUGAAGCGCAAUAAAUGCGCAUAAAAUCCCGAUACUGCGCACCAAGACCAUUCAAUUGCGUUUUGACGUGUGUAGGAAUACUAUUGAAGAAUUAAUAAAAGCGAGAUGUCUAGCCAACAGAGUGGAGGUGGUAAAUACGGAGGCACGGGUGACAAGGCGGAUCUGGAUAACCAUGGCAACCAGUGUAACUCGAACAACCCCGAGUUCAAGGGUCAUCAGUCCGGGUUCCAGGGGGAAGGCACAAAGUCGGACCUCGAUAACCACGGCAACCAAUUGAACCCGAAUAACCCCAGAUUCCAGGAGCCCAAAAAGUGACGUCGUUUCACGCGCAAAAGAGGCGUCAUACCAGGCGUCAAUAGGACUAUGUUAUAAUAUUAAAUAAACAAAAAAUAAGUUGUAUAUUUCAAAUUACAGAAUUGAAAAUGUUGGUGA